AUAUAUAUAUAUAUGAGCUAGGCUGGUAUACUAUCGGUAGCAUGGAGACCUCCGUGCUACCAAGUUGUUUUCAAUGAUGCGGCUUCCAAAUCGACGAUUGGCUCUGUUAAACUUGAUCUACACUAUUAAAAGUAUUUGGAAACUAAAUUUCAUAAUUUUUCGACAUCAUUUGGCUAGUGAUCAAAAGGACUCAAAAUUGACAAUUUUAAUAGUAGAUGUGAUGCGUUUGUGAAUUUAACGGUGUAAAACAAUCCAAAUCUGAUGAAAUUUUUAUAAAAAAUUCUUUUCACUAUUUAAAGUAAGAUUAGUAUCUCUGAUCUUAAAUUCAAGUCUUUUAUCAUCAUUUUUUAUGAGAUUUUUAUUUUCAGCCGUUCAUUUUUAGACUACUUGUUUGAUAGGUAAAUGAUGUCGAAAAAUUAUAAAAUUUAAUUUCUAAAUAUUUUCAAUAGUGUAGAUCAAGUCUAACGGAGCCGAUCGUCGAUUUGAAAGCUGCAUCAUUGAAAACAAUUUGGUAGCACGGAGACCUCUGUGCUUCCGAUAGUAUACCAGCCUAGCUCUCUCUCUCUCUAUAUAUAUAUAAAGAAAGAAAAAAAAAAAACAAAAUGAUGGACAAAUUAAACCUUUCAAUAUCUUUUGCGAAGAAAAAAAGAGCGAUGUUAUCUUCUCUAGGACCAUUUUCUUGAAAUUGUGGGGGCCAUGAACUUCGACGAGGAACUUCUUCCAGCUGGAUUUUGGACUUAAAAUGUGUCACUGCUUCAAGCACUUUCAGUGACGCACAGGAUGAUGCAUGAGCUUGAAUACCAUCACAAAGCUCAGGAGGCCUUGCUAUUCUCAGAAGCUCAAAAUCCCCACUGAAAUAGAACAAGUAUGAAUUACAAAACAAGACAUCUUAAAUGGAAGCGGCUUCACAUGUAUACCCCAAUAAAAUCAUCAUUCACAUACCACAGUAAAAUCUGAAUUUACAUAUAUGGCCAUAUGGGCAUCCAAAGUAUGGUUUCUCAGUGAAAAUACACUUAUACUAAGUUGGGGAAUAAGCCAGUUCACUUGGGAAGUUUGCUCGGUAUUAGAAAAAGCUUUUUAAAGAGGGGCAUCCAUCCUUCUAUGUAUGAGGUUUACAUGUAGGAUAAAAAAAAAAAAAAAAAAAAAAAUUGAAGGGCACAAAGAAAGAUUCAGAUUUGGCAGGGAAACGAAUGUAAAAUAGAUAAUUUUGCAGGGGUAUUAGAUGUAAAAGCCUCAAAAUUAUAACAUCAGACAAUCAAUCACAGCAGAGAAGGAAACAUAACAUACUGCCAUAUGUAGUCAAGCUCUGGAAUUACUGAAGCUCUUAAUUGGUUGGUAAGUACAGAAGCUUGAUUCGACAAGACUUCCAACUUCUCUUUCAACUCAACCAAGUUCCUAGUAGAUUCAAAAUUCUGAUCUAAAUUCAAUGUUGAAACUUUCGCAUUUCGUUCCGGUGAUCUCAUAGUGACCUGAGUUCUAGGUUUCAAACUUGCCACUUCCACUAGAUCUUUCGUUUUAAUUCCUUUGCCACUCCUCUCCUUUAGGGAUAGAGUACGGUCAGCCAGAGGCUUUAGGGCGGACAUACGGAGCUUGUCAACUGCGCAAAAUUGAGUGGUGUGGCCAGCUUCAUUACACUUUUGACACCGUGAUGCACGAUUAGAACCCAAAGGUUUAUCAAUAGGCCCAGAAGUAAAAAAUUUGUCCUUAGAGACGAGCUGGCCAGUUUUUUGAUCUGAAGGUUUGGAUAAACCAUUUGAUAAUGCAACUCCAGAAGCUUUUAAUAAAUUUGAUUUGUGCAUUUCAUUGCUUCCUGAUAAAAGCACAGAGUGAUAAGUACGUUUUUUUGACAAUUGCCAGGCACAGUAUGUAAAUGAAAAGUUAACACUGUUAAGAAAAAAUAAUGGAGAAGGGUUGAUUACCUAUAGUGUUUGCAUUGUCUGACCCUCGACUGUUGCCAAUAUUACUUGACUUAGGUAUAUUGUUUCCUUUUGUAUCAUGCUGAACAAUCUCAGAAUCUGCCUUUGGGGGAGGAGCGCUCGAACCAGCCCUAGGAGAAGGAAUUGCAGAGGGUUGCUGUAAAGAAGUACUUUUCAUGCUCGUUAAUAUUCUUUCUUUUACCUCCUUCACACUUCUCACCUCAGCCCACAACGGAUUGAGGGGCUUCGUUUUAUUCAGUGACUCACUGUUUGUCGUUUUAAAUGAUGAGGACUUGGUGAUUGUUUUGUUGAGACCCUCUUUUCUUGUGCUAUUGGAAGCGGCCUCUUUGGCAUUCUUUUGCUUAGGAGGAACAUCAUCGAUUAGCUGCUUGACCUUUGCUACUUUUGAGUUGUUGAAAGAGAUCGACUUCGAUAGAGAUCCUGUGGCAAACCAAAUCAAAAUAAUUUAUUUUUCUGAUUCUAAGGAUAGCAUCAUGAUUAAUUGCAAAUUACUACCGCGAUCAGAAUAAGAAUUUCAAGGCAAGGAAAAUACCUCGUGCUAGUGGUGGUUGAAUUCUGGGUAAAUUAGAAGCUGAAGAUGUUAGUGCUCGACCAAGAUGCUGUGCGCUCUCUUGCUUUGCUUUUUCCGCAUCCAAGUUACUUAAUGAACUGUCAUUAAAUGAUCCGGUUCCCUUCCUAGGACUACUUUGCCUACUCAGUGAAGGAACCUCUAUGUUCUCUUCAUUCCUUUUAGUGGAAAUAUCAGCACUUUGAAGCACUUCGCUUGAUCCUUUUGAAUCUGGAUUGGUUUCCUUUGUUUCAUUAAGCAAAAUUUUUGGGUCAACGGUGCUCUCAAUUUCCUCAUCUUUUGCACCAAAGGAAGGUGCUUCUGAGUCUAAAUUUUGUUUUUCAGCUUCCUCCUUAAGUUGGCAUUCUUCACAUAACCAAUCGCCUUCUGGAACUUCAUCCAACAUUACCCGCAUACAGUAACUAAUUUAAAGCAAAAAAUUAAUCAUGUAUUAAAAAGAUAAUGGCAUUAUAAACUAUCAGAAGAACGAACAAGCUUAAACAGAGGAAGCUUACAUGUGCUCUGCACCAUCAGUACAUCUACUGCAAAAAGCAAGUAGCUCUUCCUGACCUGCAUCCCCGCAAAUGUCACAUACUUUAACCUGUUGAGACAUGAAAGAAAAAUUAAAGCAGAUUAAGCCAAUAUUACAGAGUAAUCAAACAUAGUAAGAAUGUGUUUAGGCCACCUAAAGCUUCUGUAAAAGUGUUAUUUGAUUAGAACUGUUGAAAGAAGCAAUGGCAGCAUUUACAUUCAAAUCACACAGCAGCCUAUUGCCACAGCAGAAGCAAAAACUUCAAAUUGGAGCUUGUGAUUUUAAAGUUCCAAAGUUCACGUUAGCUUCUACCAAGACUUUUUGAGGUCUCUCUGACACUGCUGUAAAGUGUAAGUUUGAGCAGUGCUAUAAGAAGAAUACAUAUAUUGAAAUGCCCCCAACAGCUUCCAACAAAAUCAGAAACUCUAAAUUGAAGCAGCUUCUUCUCUUGGGGUCAGAAUCUCAUUUCAGUUUAUUGCUACAACAAAAGCUCUAGACUUCUCUUGUUGCCAACACUACUAAAGGUGGUUCGAGAUGAAAAAGGACGCACAAGCUACACAGGUACUUGUCAGCAGAAGACCUGCUUUCUAAAAGCCUCUGCUUUUAGGGUUGCAGAAGUUGUUCUAAAAGCUACGCUCAAACAAGAACUAGUUGUAAGAAAAGCAGCUGGUAUGACUGAAAUAUAAUUAAAAUAAUAAUUUAACCCAUAGUGUUAAAAAUCUUUCAAGCGCAAGGACAAGAACUUACAUCAUCCUCAAUUUCUUCAGAGUUUUCACUCUCUGAGGUUGUCUUCUGUCGCACAUCCAACACCUCCAUCUUAGAAUCCUCCGCCAAAUUGGGGUUCUUUUCACAUUGCUCAUUUGAGAAGCUGCGCUUGUUAACUUCAUCUGAUGGCACAUUAUUGUCCUUGGCAUUUUCGGUCCCCAAGCAAGCAUCAGAAGUUUCCAAAGAAACCAAACUUGGAUUUUUGUUAUCUGCUUCAUUAACUUCAUUCAUCGGAGAAGCUGUGCAAUUUUGCCCGCCAACAAUGAUUGCUUCCACUUCUCCGGCCAUUGAUGAUCCCUCAUUCUUUGUGGAUCUCUCAGGGUCACACGGAACUGGCUCUUUAGAUGCUGCUUUCAUACCGGUAUUUUCUGGGGAAAAGUCCCGACUUGAAGUUGAACUUAACAGAUUACUUGUUUCGGCACAUGCGUAUCGGUUGUCAUCACAUGCUUUGCUUUUAUCAACAGCCUCACUGGCACCAUUGGAAGAGCAGCUAUCCCCUUCUUUCCUCCCAGAAGUGCUUCCGGAAGGAUCACAUUCCAUCUUCGAUUCCAUGAAAGGCAAUGAUUGGUUUGUGUGCAAACACGAUGAACAAGGAGCAGAGCACACGUUGCAUGCACUGGAUUCAGGUCUUUCGUCAACUGAAAAAUUGCCCUAUUGAAGAUGAGUACACAAAAGUCAAAAAUAACCUGUCUAAGGUUCCAAUUAACGUUCACGCACUUUAAGGUUUUGUAUUCACCCAAAACAGAAUAGUAGCUUUGUACAUAUACAUGGAUGUGCGGUAAAAGAGUUGUUAUUAUGCUGCACAUUUUAUACAUGGCAAAUGAAGUCUUAGCAUUUGUGACUCUCAACUAAAUCAACAAAACAAAUGCAAGUGAGAGGAAAGUAAAUUAAUUAGAUGACAUGGAUAAUAGAAAAAUACAGACAUUUCGCUCACGGAUACAGCAAGGUUUGAUGUCAAAUCGAUUACUGUCUCAUAAGAAUCUCUCUUACCAAAUUCACACUCUGAAGUUCAUCAUCGCACUCGUCAACAGGUCCUUGGAUGCGAUAAACCCCUUGAAGAACUGGUGUUAUCUAUAAAGCAAGUUAAAAUUCGCAUCAGUUAUAGCUAUUAAAGACUUGUAUGGAGAAAUUUAAUCUUCAAGAAACUCAAAAAAAAUUGUAAUCACUUUACAAUCUAAUAGCUCAAGCAAACCCUAGUUUGUUGCAUUACAGAAUCAUAUCCUGCAGUUAUUUCAAGAACCAGCAAAUCAACCUAAUCAGUAUUACACGACACCCACAAAAGAAUAGGAUCGUUAAUCGCAGAUGUGCUAAUCACAAAUCGGUCCAAAGUAAACCAUUUCUCACAAUGCAACAAGAAGUUCGAUCCAGAAACCCUAAACGAGCAAUAACCGCAGCACAAGACGCAUAAAGAAGCGAACUGUUAGCACGCAAAUCGCUCAAAUGAACCCUAAUUGCCCAUAUUAAUUAACCAAAUCCAGCUACAAAAACAAGAAACCACAAAAUCGACCAAAUUGCAAACUAAGACGAAUCUAAUCACUGCAGCAACGAAUCGAUCGGAGCAGGUAAUCUUAAGGGGAGGAGAGGGAAAGGAGAGAGGGCCUCUUUACAUGCCUCCGCUUCGGGGAUUCUCUCCGUGGCGCCGUACAGCUGUUCUAGUACCCUGUAGCGGCGAUACCUCAUCUCCCUCCGCGGGGAGAGGAUCGGGUCUCGAUCCGAUUCUACCCUUAUCUAGGGUUCCAGCGACCCCGGAUUAGGGUUUCGGGUCGACGCGGCGCGCGCUGGGGAAUCGGGGAACGGGGGAGAGGGGGGAAGAGGAGGAGGAGGAGGAGGAGGAGGAGGUAGGCGGGAGAGGGGGGAUUGACGGGGCUAACGUGCGCCGUGGGGAGGGGCCUAACGUGCGCGGGGACGAGGAGGGGGAGGAGGAAGAGGAAGAAGAAGAAGAGAGGAGAAGAGAGAAGAGAGAGAGGAGAAAAGGGGGGGUGUUUCGCAAAUAUUUAAGGAGUAGGAAAAUUUGCAUGAAGAUCCCUCGACUUAGAUCGCUGUGAACCAAGGACUAAUUAUUUCACCCAAAAGUUGGGAGGUGGGAAGUGAUAUGUUGCUAGGAUGCGGACAGAUACAAUGCUCGAAAUUUUAUUCGAAUCCGAAUUCGAAUAAAGCGGAUAUAUCUAAUGUUAAAUGGAUAUGGAUUCAAAUAUGAAUGUGAGAUCCCUGGUGUUUGGGCUGUGGGGCUUGUCGACAGCUCUGGAGAGUGUCGGACAAGUCUGAAUCCGGUUGGCGUCAAAUAGACGCAAAACGGACUCCGUGCGACGCGAGGGCAGCAUUCAGCGAAGGAAUCUGCGAAAAAGCAGAUUUUCCUGCUUGCCUGUACCGGUACAAGCAGUAAUGCUGUACCGGUACAACCAGCGCGGGGAAUGCUUGCUGUACCGGUACAAGGGUUUUCUGUACCGGUACAAGCUACGCGCACAGAUUUAGCUGCUCUCGGGUUGGCUCUUGUACCGGUACAGGAGCCCGUGUACCGGUACAAGGGAGUAGGUAAAGGGCUAAAACGGUAAAAUCUCACCUCGUUUGUAUCUCCCUCACCUCCCCUCUCCUUUUAAGUGUCCGAGCAGAGAGAGAGAGUGAGAGAGAGUACUUCCUGCUCUUCUCCAUCUUCUUCUUCUCCUCUCUCUCUCUAGGUGUUGGUGGAGAGUCCGGUUGGGGAUUCCGUCGCCGACGUCGCGCCGCGAGCCGUUCGAGCGCGCUUGCUGCCGGAGCUUUGCGAGGAGGCCGGGCGAGGGAGCGUCUUCACUGUUCUUGACGUCGCGCCGAGGUUCGACGCUGUCGAGGUGGGUGAUUCGGCGUCUUUCCUGGAUUUUGGGCAAGUAUUACUAUUUCUACUCGGUUAGUAGCUGUUUUGCUGAAAUCCGCCGUCGACUGUUCGUAUUUCAGCUCGUUCUCGGCGUAGGAACGUCAGAUCGCGACGAGGCUUGGUUCGUUGGAUUCGGGACUUCAAGAAGAAUCCACGAAGCCCCCACUUGCCAGAUUUGGUGAAGGUUAGCUCGGUCGAAUCCCGUUCCUACUCAGCUGCUGUGAAUUUCUGGACUGAAUCGAGGAUCCUUAAUUGUUUAGCUUGGCGUUAGCUCGUCCACCGGACUUGGAGGUCCCCAGUUGAUCCAGCAGAGGUUGUCCUGGUUCGAGGCUUCGUUCGCUGCCUGGAUUUAGCUUUUGAGGUGGGUUACAUCGGCUUUACUCCUAAGUUCUUAUUGGUCGACAUGUAUAGAUCUUGAUUUCGGUAAUUAAUUUUUAGCUCAAAUUCAUGGACUAUAUGUAGAUUGUGAAAUCUGAAUUUUGGAGCAUGUUUUUUAUAAAUUAAAUAGAUUAUACAUGUUGGACUUGGAAAUUGAAUUAGGAGAAAACCUGCGAUUUGAACCUGUCACCAGUUUUAACUACCUGAUUUAGCUCUAGGAGCCGUUAGAAAAUUGUACUGUCGCAGUUUCUUCGAGACGAGUACUCCAGGUAGUUUAGUAUAUAUAUACACUCGUGCUGGUUCGCCGAGUGGAUUUUUACCGGGUCAUUCAGGUUAUUUCGGACUGUUGGGUGCCGUCAGAGUUGAUGGUGGACUCGUAUCGCCUUUUUGGCGUCAGAUUGUGCCGAGGGCACGUUACCUGUUGGUUGUUAGAACAGCUUAGAGUCGGUUUCUUGACUUUGGCUUUUCAGAGCCUGUUUGAGCUCGACAGAGAUACGCUGCAUACUCGGUUGGGUAGCGCCCACGAGUGCCACUCCGGAGUCAAGCUUUGUGCUUUCGCGUUGGUGUCGCUCAUGCCAGUUGGACUUACUCUCCACGGACCAGUUAGAGUGGAUAGAGCCCGAUAGUCGCAACGGGGCAGGGACGGGUGUAUUCACAAUCCCGGGGACGGGUAUGCUUACAGUCCCGAUUUGGAUUGGGUCCGAUUUGACAUUUUCUAUAGUUGGUUAGUGUAGAGUAUGAUAGUGUAGUGGUUGAUAGCGGUAGAGUGUACUUCCUGCUUUUCCUUUUAUUCUUGCUCCCUUCUGUAGACUUAGUGGGUGACCGAUGUCGUUUUGGGCGGUACCCACUGAGGACUACUUGUUUUUACAGUAGUUCUCACGCCCAGUUGUUACUUAUGUUUUGCAGAGCCACAUGUGCCGGCUGCUGUAUCUUCUGCCGAUCAGGAUCGAGGCAAGGGCGUUGCGAGCUAGAGCCCUACCCGACAGUCAGAGCUAGAGGCUUUCCCCUACUGCAGGUAGUUUUGUUUUGGAGUUUAUGUACAUAGUUGUUUAACUCGCCAGUGCGAGUAGCUUUGUAUUUUGGAUUCUAGCUAUGUAUAUGAAACUCAGAUAUUUAGCUUAUUUUUGGGCAGCUCUAUACUACUGUUUGUAGUAUUGUAUUUCUACAAGUACUUUGACGCAUCGUAUACAGGGGAAAUUCCUUUGUAUACGGCGGAUUUGUCGGCGUGCCCGGGAAACGAGACAUCCGGGGCGUGACAAUGAAUAUCAAAAAUAAGAAUCUGACGGAUAUGAAUUCGAAUAUGAAUUUUGACUAAUACCCGAUUUGCAUCUGAACUCGACUCGUACUAGGGAUGUCAAUGGGUAUGGAUAUCCGAAAUAUUAUCCGAAUCCGAACCCGAACAAGACGGGUUUAUCCGAGGUAAAAAUGAAAUCUUAGGGCAGCAAAUUGUUACACUUUAAACCAUAUGGUACUAAAGUGAAAAAAUGCGAAACUAUAGGGGGUUUUUUGAAGUUUCUACGGGGUUUUUUAAAGUUUUUCCUAAUUUAUAUUAUCUUUUAGCAUAUAAAAUCUAGAAUAAUUUAUUUAUUGUUAAUGGCUAAUAGAAUUACAUAUUUUUACAAAAUUUUCAUUAGUUAGGAUAAUUUGAUUCUAAAAAUUAAAAAUUACGGAGGACUCAAUCUUUUUAAAAUAAGAGUUAAAAUCGGCGACGCUAUUUAAAAUGGCCUAUAGUUGGGGUGGCGGUCAUAUAUUUUUAUCUAUUUAAUAGGCAAAAAAAAAAAAAUGUAUUAUACACCAUUUUGAAAAAUUCCCUCAACUUUAAUUUUUUUUAUUAAUUAAAUUUUGAAUUUUUAGUUGAAUUAUUUUAGCUAGUAAGAUAUAAUUUUUACUGAACAGUGAAUGUUAAAAUUUUAUUUACUUAAUAACAAUAAAAUCUCUGCUUUGAUUCACUCAAAUCAUAUUAAUAAUAAUAAUAAAAAACAAAAGUUGAGAUGUCUAUUUCACAAUAUUCUAUAGUUGGGGGGGCUCCUUACAUAUUUUUAUAAAACAUUAAAUAACAGCGAAAAUUUUGCGUACUCACGUGCAAAGCAUGCCUGAUGAUGUGAUAUUCUCACCCCGCAUUUUACCGCGAACGCACGCAAAAGGUGGUGUACGUGAAUUAGAGUUUAGGGUCGUAUUCAAAAUUUUAUUUGAAUCUGAAGUACAUAAUGAAUUUAUCUAAUACUAAAUCGAUCUAAUUUCGGAUAUAGAUAUCAAAAAUAAAAAUUCGAUAGAUUUGGAUUCGAAUAUGAAUUUUGAUUGUUCCCGACCCGAAUCCGACCGGAAUACGACUCGAACCCAAAUAUAUUUGACAUUAUAUAUAUAUAUAUAUAUAUAUAUAUAUAUAUAUAUAUAUAUAUAUAUAGAGAGAGAGAGAGAGAGAGAGAGAGAGAGAGAGAGAGAGAGAGAGUAUAUAUAAUAAUAUAUAUAUAGUUAGGCUGAUAUAUAUCGAUAGCACGGAGACCUCCUGUUACCAGUUAUUUCAAUAAUGCGACUUCCAAAUCGAGGAUAGGCUCCGUUAGACUUGAUUUACAUUAUUAAAACUAUUUGGGAACUAAAUUUUAUAAUUUUUCGACAUCAUUUGGCUAGUGAUCAAACUGUCUCAAAAUUGAUAAUUUUAAUGAUAAAUGUGAUACGUUUUGAAUUAACGUGUAAAGAAACAACCAAAUCUAAUAAAUUUUAUAAAUUUUUUUUUUUAUUUAGAGAAGAUAGCAAUCAUUUUCAGCCGUUCAUUUUAGACUACUCGUUUGAUAGGUAAAUGAUACCGAAAAUUUAUAAAAUUUAGUUUCCAAAUACUUUCAAUAGUGUAGAUCAAGUCUAACGGAGCGGAUCGUCGAUUUGGAAGCUGCAUCAUUGAAAACAACUUUGUAGCACGGAGAUCUCCGUGCUGCCGAUAGUAUACUAGCCUAGCGCUCUCUCUCUCUCUCUCUCUCUCUAUAUAUAUAUAUAUAUAGAUAUAUAUAUAUAUAUAUGUAAUAUUAUAUUUGAAUCUAUAUUUUAAAAUUUUAGAUGUAAUUUAAUAUAUUUUGAAAUAUCGAAAAGAGAAAUUAUUGUUUCGGGGUUGGUCUCAAGUUCGGGUUUUGAAUGUUUGGUUGGGUCGAGUUUGGAUAAGUAUUUUUAAAAUCCGACGUAUUCGGGUUCGGAUUUGAAUUUCGGGUUUGGAGUCGGGUUCGGGUUCGAGUUUUUAAAAAUAAGCAAACAUUUUUAUGGAUUUCAUUAAUAUAUUUUAUGCAAUUUGCAUAAUUAUACAUUGAAUUGAGCUCCUAUGCUUUUAAAAGUACCAAGUCAUUGGUGCUUGUAAGUUUUCGACCCUCGGAUUAAGAGAUGUGCGGUUAGCCCUUGGAUUAAGAAAUGUGUGGUUAGGAUGAUGUGGGCUCUCUAGAGUUGAGUGGGUGAUUGAUUGAAUAGUAUAAUCUAACGGGUGAAAAUGAUCAAAGGCGUAGAUCUAACGGUAAAAAAUUUACAAGCACCAAGUGCUUGGUGCUUUUACAAGCACCAUAGCCGGACCCAUUAUACAUUUACUAAAAUAAGCAAUUAGCUUAUUUUGUAUCCAAACAAUCAUUAAAUUACUUAUGUCAAACAAAUUGAAAGAUUAGGCACUAAAAUUAAAUUUUUAAAAGAUCAUACAGCUAAAUCAAAACGAUUUAUAGUUCAAAUAAGUUUUAUACAUUUUUUUUUUAACGACGGAAUCUAGAUCUUAGAGGUCGAAUUGGCGAUGUUG
rnacentral:lncRNA from 1 species